rnacentral:rRNA from 1 species
GGACUACCGGGGUUUCUAAUCCCGUUCGCUCCCCUGGCUUUCGCGCCUCAGCGUCAGAAAAGGUCCAGCAGCUCGCUUUCGCCACCGGCGUUCCUUCCGAUAUCAACGCAUUUCACCGCUCCACCGGAAGUUCCAGCUGCCCCUACCUCGCUCAAGGCCGCCAGUAUCCAAGGCACUUUUCCGGUUGGGCCGAAAGAUUUCACCCCGGACUUGGCGGUCCGCCUACGCGCCCUUUAAGCCCAGUGAUUCCGAACAACGUUCGCACGGUUCGUCUUACCGCGGCUGCUGGCAC